ACGUGGACGCGGAGACGGCGCGGGCGGGCGCGCGGGGCUUCUCCGGCUGCCUCUCCGCGGUGCAGUUCGAGCGCGUGGCCCCGCUGAAGGCUGCGCUGCGCCCUGGGCGCCCUGGGCUCGCGUCCGUGCAGGGGCUGGUGGCGGCGUCGGACUGUGGAGCCAGCCCCGGGGACGGCGCCACGCGGGAGCGCACGCAUGUGCGGGCAGGACAUUCCGGAACGGUGGAUGAGGGGAAGCCCAUAGCUGACGCGACCAGGGGAGACUCCGCAGUGAUUGGAGGUGUCAUAGCCGUAGCAGUGUUUGUCCUGCUGUGCGUUGCUGCCAUAGCCAUCCGCCUUUACCAGCAGAAGACCUUGUACACAAUCAAGGAGGGGAAACCACCAGAGAACGAAGGCCGUGCAGUGGCCGGGCUCAGGUGUGAGCUCAGCCUGCAGAGUGCGGUCUGUGGGAACCAGAAGGAGUACUUCUUCUGAGUGGGAGCCAGGAUGGACACAUCCUCACUGCAGGCUGACUUUCUCCUACGCCCGGGGCUCCCGAUGGUCAGAAAUCCCCUUUGCAAAUGCAACAGGUUGUGACACAAUCGUGCUGGGCAAAUCCUGCCUCAUGGAGUGUCCAAUGGCAUUAUCCCUUAGCUGUCGUUUGAGUCACUGCAUUUUAUGUCACCAUGAAUUUGAUAUGGUCAUAAUCCAUGUUAGUUCUGAUGCUCUAAUGUGCUUUUAAACUGAAUUUUAACUUGC